rnacentral:rRNA from 1 species
UACGUAGGGUGCGAGCGUUAAUCGGAUUUACUGGGCGUAAAGCGUGCGCAGGCGGCCCGUUAAGACAGGUGUGAAAUCCCUGGGCUCAACCUAGGAAUUGCGCUUGUGACUGGAGGGCUCGAGUACGGCAGAGGGGGGUGGAAUUCCUGGUGUAGCAGUGAAAUGCGUAGAGAUCAGGAGGAACACCGAUGGCGAAGGCAGCCCCCUGGGCCUGUACUGACGCUCAUGCACGAAAGCGUGGGGAGCAAACAGG